rnacentral:sRNA from 1 species
UUUUUAUUUUUUUUUUAAAAUUAUUAAUCAAUUACUUCAAAUGAAAACAAUUAAAAGCUCAAAAUUUUCUAUUAUUGCUGAGCAUAUAUAACAUUCAAGAGAACAAAAUGAAAAAUACGAGAAUCAAACUAUUGGCCACAGUUCACCUGCUCCAAAUCUGUUGUAGUGAUGAUUGUGUCUAGACAUUAAAGCAGGAGUUCCAACUCUGUUGUCGUCCUCUGUGACACUAUCAUCGGACCGGUAUCAUCGGACCGGUAACACGGGCUAAAGCAUCAGUGUACCUCUCGAAUGGAGUCCUUUCCAAAUCAUUAGGCAUAAACCAAAUUCAUCCAUCAUCUCAUUCAUACCUAAAAAUGCAUAUAUCUCGGAUCUCACAUCAUCUAGAGACUAAUAAUGAGUACAAUUAACGUUGCAUUCAGUGAUUGAAAUUUCUUAUUCAUUUUGUUGUACGCUGAUCAAAACUUCUUAUCUUUUUUUCCGUUGAAAUUAAAAACUUUUAUAAAACGUUAAAAUUAAAAAUCUUUAUAAAGAAUUUGAUAGAAAAAAAUCGCAACGAACAACAAAUGCGCGAAAAAAUGGCGGCAAGCUUUUUGAAGAAUGAGAGUAAACAACGGCUAUACAUUUGGUUGAUUUUACAGCUAUAUAUAUAUGAUGAAAUGCCAGUAAUAUUGCCCUGUGGCACAUGAACAAUAAUAGCACUAACAAAGUAAGAAUCCAAAACUUAUCAAAUAAUUGAAA